rnacentral:rRNA from 1 species
UGGGGAAUAUUGCACAAUGGAGGGAACUCUGAUGCAGCGACGCCGCGUGAGUGAUGAAGGAAUUCGUUUCGUAAAACUCUGUUCUAUGGGAAGAAAAGGACUGUACCAUAGGAGAAAGCUCCGGCUAAAUACGUGCCAGCAGCCGCGGUAAUACGUAUGGAGCGAGCGUUGUCCGGAAUUAUUGGGCGUAAAGGGUGCGCAGGCGGCUUUACAAGUUGGAUGUGAAAUAUUGUGGCUCAACCACAAACGUGCAUCCAAAACUGCAAAGCUUGAGUUAAGGAGAGGUAAGUGGAAUUCCUGGUGUAGCGGUGGAAUGCGUAGAUAUCAGGAGGAAUACCGGUGGCGAAGGUGACUUACUGGACUUAAACUGACGCUCAGGCACGAAAGCGUGGGGAGCAAACAGG